ensembl:lncRNA
UAAGGACAGAGAAAUGUAAAACAGCUGUCUCGAAAGUUUGCUGCAUGAAGGAUUGGAGCUGCCUUUAUUCCCUCCUCUUCCCUCCUGAUGCACUAUUCAGACCUAUUGCUUAUUGACUGAUAGGCUUAUUGAUGAAAUAUCCAGCAGUGAUGCAGCCCAGGGAGGUCAGUAGGGUGCAAUUACAGGCAGAGCAGGCUUGGGUGUGCUUCUGAACUACUCCUCCCUGCACAGCUCUUUCAGUAUGCAUAUCACAUCUCCCUGCUUGUAGCAGGCUGAUGAGUGUGUGCAGUUAGUGCAGGCACACACAUACUUCUGCGCUUUCCCUGAAAGUGGAGCAUUAGCAACUGCAGUCAAAAAGCACCCUUGCUUCUUCAGCUCUGAUCCUAGCAGCAACUGUCUGAUUCUGUCUGGAGGAACUGGGAGACAGCACUGGAGGCAAGUUUAAAACGGACCUAGUGACACCCGGCUGUCACAUCUGGCUUCAUGAAUCUACUUAUUACCAGUACACUUACAAUUACUUUCCCAGUCCCAUUGGUAGUGUAUGUUCUUGAGGACUGCCUGGCUGGGAAGGAAGGAGCACAGUGCUGAAGGGUCAUAUUCAGGAUGCUUACAGGCUCUUCACGCUGCUUACAAGGGCUCUUCAGUCCCUCUUGCUGGAGUGUGCAAAGCUGAUGCAGUAAAAUAUGACCCACAUAUGCAGGGCUUUCUGUCUCCCUCAGAAGCCAACAGAAAGUAGCAGGCAUGAAAACUUAGUGAAGCUAUUAUGCUAAGCUGCAUAAGCAAGAGGCAUCCAUUGAUAUUUAUUUAUAGAGUUUGGACCUCAGCUGAUGUGAAAUGCUUCCUUUAAUUAUCACACCACCUUCUAUGUCUUAUGCCAUAUAGUGGGAAAAACUCUUCUUGAGUCCAUCUUUGACUGCAUUUUUACUUGCUUGUCACGGGUUACUUAGAUUUACCUAUGCCCAUGACAGGGGAAGCCACCCCGUAGGGCCCCCCAGGGCCCGGAAAGGAGGGGGAAAAGGGGAAUGGGAUAAAAACAGCGGCAAUCUAAGGAGGAAAAACUUAUUUUACUAAAUAUGAUAUCGAAAUACAAGAUAACACAAGAUAAUAUAAUUGAGGCUAACAAAUCGAAUGAAACAGAGAGAGAGAGUCCCCGAAAACCGAGAGGCCUACUGUGAACUCUAGGCGACAUGGCUGGAACGCUUCCCACUCUCUGAGAAGUUCGAGAGAAGAAGGAGGGCACUCCAGCCUGGGAACAAGAUUAUAUAGCGUCCCGGUCCCGUGACUUAUCUCUGGCCAUGUUGUUCUCUGGGAUAUGUAGUCUUCUUCUGUGGACUGCACAUUCAAUAGAAGUAUCCAUGCUUUACAUGAUGUUAUGAUGUGGAAUACUGAUAGCAAAAUACAAAAUUACAAAACCAUGACAUUGCUUUAAAGCAUUUAUGACAUAUUGGACUAUGAAGUUGCUCACACUUGAAAAUGUGUCACAGCUCACAAGAAGAUAUUAGAUCAUUUCUACUUACCUUUUAUAGGAAUGCUGCAGCUUUAAGACCUUUUCUUUUGUAUUUUUUUCCUAGCUUCUUCAAAGAGUGUUACCAUUUCUUUUCCUAAAAGUUACUGGGCUUUCAUGAGACUGAUGCUGGUCAUGUACACAUCCCAUCAUUGGUGCAGCUGAGAAUUAGAAGCUUGUCUGAUGUAAUACAACACGUGUUUUUUGCAUGUUGUUUCUGCAGUGUUAAACCAUUGCUUAUAAUAAAUGCUGUGAACUAACUAAAAAUUUAUUAUGA